rnacentral:rRNA from 1 species
GUGGAGUACUCCUUCUAAGCUAAUAUCACCACGAGACCGAUAGCGAACAAGUACCGUGAGGGAAAGUUGAAAAGCACUCUGAAUAGAGAGUCAAAGAGUACGUGAAACUGCCUAGGGCUCAAGCCCGUUGAACUCGAUUAUCCGAACGGAGAUAUUCACCUGUGGCCUGCGGGGCUCGCACCCGCAGCCACAGGGCACUUAUCUCCGGCUUUCACGAGGACAUUGCGAUCCAUUACGAAACGCUUGUGCCGCCCGCCGGCGCAAACCGCCCGACCACUGCCCCCCGGUGCCGGUUGCUUGUCCCACAGUAGCGUGCAUUCAGUUCUGAAGGCCUAUGCCGCGAGCUGGGACCUACUGCACGUGGUGUGCAGUCGGGCGCGUGAUGGAUUCUUCCCUGGACACCGUCCCCGUAUGUGCCCCCCGCAUACACGCUCAUUCUGGGCUGGCGGACUGUCGAUCGGCAAUGAUCAAAUCGAGGUACCUUCGGGACCCGUCUUGAAACACGGACCAGGAAUUCACA